rnacentral:rRNA from 1 species
GACGAACGCUGGCGGCGUGCUUAACACAUGCAAGUCGAACGGAAAGGCCCUGCUUUUGUGGGGUGCUCGAGUGGCGAACGGGUGAGUAACACGUGAGUAACCUGCCCUUGACUUUGGGAUAACUUCAGGAAACUGGGGCUAAUACCGGAUAGGAGCUCCUGCUGCAUGGUGGGGGUUGGAAAGUUUCGGCGGUUGGGGAUGGACUCGCGGCUUAUCAGCUUGUUGGUGGGGUAGUGGCUUACCAAGGCUGUGACGGGUAGCCGGCCUGAGAGGGUGACCGGCCACAUUGGGACUGAGGUACGGCCCAGACUCCUACGGGAGGCAGCAGUGGGGAAUAUUGCACAGUGGGCGGGAGCCUGAUGCAGCAACGCCGCGUGCGGGAUGACGGCCUUCGGGUUGUAAACCGCUUUCGCCUGUGACGAAGCGUGAGUGACGGUAAUGGGUAAAGAAGCACCGGCUAACUACGUG